ACCGUCACCUUUUGGCCUGAGGACAGUUUCUCCUCAACAGAAAGGACCUACUUUGACAAAAGAAGAAUGAAAAUGAAUCUACUAAUUAAUUGUCCUAUCAGAGAAUCCAUGGAGCUACCAACCCCAACCCCCAACCCAUGCGCACACAAUGAACGAAAUUUAAAGAAAGAAGCACCUUUUUGAAUAAUACAGUUCAAGUAAUGACUCUUGCAAAUCAUUGACAGUUUGUGGGACACUUUGGUGAGUUUUAGUGAUCUGCUCCUCCCACCUCCCGGCAGCAGCAGGAGGAAGUUACUUCGUCCUCCAGUUUGUCAGCAGCGCUGAAGGUUGUGGAAAAAAACCUUAAACCCACCUGCUCUGAGUCCAGAGAGGAGCUGCAGCAGCACAGCAGAGGUGUCUCUCCGUGAAAUGGGAUGCAAGGAGUCGAGAUGCUGGCCUUGGUCAACACUCUCAGACAAACAGACUGAGGUCAUCGCGGACAAACAAGGGGGACAGGAAACAGAAGCCUUCCUGGAGGACGUUAAGGAGACAGAAUGUUCCGUCGCUCCAGAGGAGAAAGCGGACGACGGUCGUCCACCGGCUCUCCUCCCAGUCAGCAAACCGAUACUGGCUUUCGCCCAGAGUAUGUCGGAGGACAUCGUUGCUCAGGCUCUGCAGCUCUUCUGGAAGGUGGAGAUCCAGUACAAGAACCUGCCUUUCAUCGACAAUGACAUCGACUAUGUUAUAUGAGCUGAAGAAGAGACGUUUUUGACUGAACCCGGACUAAAGCUGCUAAAAAGAACUGUUAACCAACGAGGGAAUUUUCCCAACACAACCCUGUAAUGCUGAAGGAAUGCAGCUUCUCUUUACAGAAACUGUCUGCAACGUGUCAUCUGAGUUUUUUGUUCUGUUUGUCCAAGGUAUUUCUGCUCAUUUUGCGACACGUGAUUAUUAUGUGAUGCAACCAAGAUAAUAGCUGGUUACUGUAUGUUUUUACUUUGAGGUUGCUUUUAGCAAUGAAAAGUGCUCUAUAAAUGAAAUUUAUUAUUAUUAUUAUUAUUAUUAUUAUUAUUAUUUUACAAACGUAUCCCACACAGGAGGAAGUAGUGCAUUUGUUGGGGACUAUUCUCAGCAGCGGAUUAAUUCACAUUUUGCACCAUGGUGAGUAUUCACAGCAGCAGGAUGCUGUGUGUGGAAAUCAUUUGAAAUACCGGUGUGUGUUGUGAUUAAAUAGCUGAUGUGUUUUAAAUGGUUUCGGAUGAUGAGAAGUACAACACUUACUUGUGAUGCUGUCAAGUGAGAAAAUAGCGUGUAUCGGACACCCGUUCGACAGGACGACCUUGUCACUCGAGGCGUUUACGGGCUGCAGGGGUUUCUGUGGACAUGAAAACAUAAGCCGGAGGUUAGGCAGGGUUAAGUCAAUGUUUCCCAUUCAUAGCCUUUCAUAUCUGUUUUGGUAGCAGCAGAGAUAAAGAGGACAACAUUUUUUUUA